rnacentral:lncRNA from 1 species
AUUGCUUUUCAUUAUUUUUGUUUCCUUAUCUGUGUUUUGACGUAAGAUCCUGGACCUCUGAAAUGCUCGAGUAUAUAAACAUAAGAAAUGCUACAGUCACCAAUAAUUGUACCGAUUUUGUUGCCGAUGGAAUCAAAACGAUAUUUUUUUGGUGCAAAAAAUCAAAACGACGUCGUUCAACUAAAAGUCAUUUUUGUUUAAAAAUCCAAAAUGACGUCGUUUUGAUUCCAUCGAUAACAAAAUCAAUACAAUUAUCGGUGACUGUAGCAUUUCUAUAUAAACGCCGUGCUUGCAAUUGGUGAAUAUGAUAAAAUGAAGUGUAUUUUCUUAUUUUUGAUGCUGUAUGCACUCUGAUUUAUUGAGUUGCAUACAUGGAUUAUGUUGGAUUUGAGUUCCAGAACUUGCAAAUACUAUGGGAUGUUUGGUAACAUUUUAAUUUUAAUUUUUUAUUUAUUUUUAAUUUUUUUGGUAUAAAUAUAAACAAAAAUUAUUUAUCUUGCUAUUUAUAAUUAAAAAUAAGACAAAAUUACUACCACUAUUUUUUAAAAUAGUGAAAACAACAAAAAUUUAUUUUGUGUUGCCACAUUUCCGCCGCCGCCGCCGCCACCACCUCCUCCACGAUAUUUUUAAAUUAUUUAUAAACAAAAACAUGGUGACAGUGGAAAAAUAAAUUAAAAAUAAAAAAUAAAAAAUAAAAAGUGGCAACGUUACCAAACAUCCACUAGCUGCCUGGAGGUGGAAUUUAAAAUUGAAUUGGAGAAUUGUGCUUAAGCUUCUUGGAUUGAUGACGAAAUCUGGGGUUCAGAAUGGAGAUUAUUUGACUACUAACGAGGCAAAUAACAUUAGGAUACGUGUCGAUUUCAAAUUAACGAAUUUAAUAUUUAGUUUUAGCAAAAUAUAAAAGAUUUAAUUAUUAGUGAUUUCUUGUAAAAUUAUGGUAGAAUAGAGAAAAAUACAUGAGGUCCUUAGAUGAAAGAUUUUAAAUAAUUCAUGUUGAAUAGUAAUUUUAAAUUUAUUACGAGAAAAACUUUAAAAUGCAUCGUAAAAAUCCAUAUGCAGCCUGUUAUAUCUGAAUUUGAGUUAUUCUCGUUGAAUAAUUUAGAACUCAAAAUGAUUAAACACAAGGACUAUUGGGAGAUUGUGUGAAAACUUAAUAACUUGUUAAAAGCAGAAUUGAAUCAUGAUAAUAAUGCAAAGUUUACAACCAUGGAGGCCAAUGGAGCAAAAAACCUAAAAUUGGUCACUCCCAAUUAUGGUUUUUUUGUUUUUUUGGCUAGAACACUAGGAAUCAUUUAUAAUAAUAUUAAUAAGAAAACAAUAAAAGUUGUAAUGGAUUUUAUCCAUAAGCCCAUUCCAGUGUUUUGUAAAAAUUGAGUAAGUAUUUAAUACUAUUGAAGUAUCAUUUCUCCUCUCAUAAGUCUCAUGAUAUAAAGAAUAAUGAUUGGUAUAUAUCCAAAAGUGGAUGUGUACAAGAUACACUCAUUUUACUCUCUUACAAAUAAGGAAGACUCGUCCUAAUUAAGAAUUUUAGAAAAGAGAAAAAAUCUUAAUUAAGGCGGGUUCUAUUUAUUUAUAAGAGAAUAAAAUUAAUAUAUCUUAUACACACCCACUUUAAAUGUGUACCUAUCACUACUCUGACACAAAGUGAGUUGCACUCAUGACUGAGAUUUAAAGUUGGAAAAAUGGUAUGGGUACCCCAUUUUAGGUACCCUAAAUACACACUUAAGAGAGAGAGACACACAAGGGGAGUGGGUCCCAUACACCCCAAGUGUGUGGAGUCCACUCCUCUUAUGUCUAUCUCUCUUCUAAGUGUGUAUUUAGGGUACUCAAAAUGGAGUAUCCAUAGCACUACCCUUAAAGUUGUGGCCAACUCGAUUUUUAAGAGUGUGUCAGCCAUUCCCACGAAUGAACACUUUUAAUUUUGUUUUUAUCCUGAAAUUAGAUGCCAAAGGAAGAUUGGGGUCCACUCCUCUUGUGUCUAUCUCUUUUCUAAGUGUGUAUUUAGGGUACUCAAAAUGGAGUAUCCAUAGCACUACACUUAAAGUUGUGGCCAACUCGACUUUUAAGAAUGUGUCGGCCAUUCCCACGAAUGAACACUUUUAAUUUUGUUUUUAUCCAGAAAUUAGAUGCCAAAGGCAGACAGUGACCCUCGGUGGUAAAUGCAAGAUUUUAAGUUAGGAGAAUUAAAAUAUAAAAAAAAUAAAUAUAUUUUAGAGAGUUAAAGUAUAAAAAGAAUUAUCUUAAAGUAAAUUUUAUAAUUUUUUAAAAAUGAGAGAGGGUUAGGCCCUUUCUUGACUCACCUUGGAUCCGCCCCUACCCUCGAUCUCUUUUAUGGGAGUUCGGAUCCUUAAUCAUAAGAAGUGCGGGACUGUGAAGUAUUCCGAAUCAUUGUGUACACUUCAAAAUAAAACGACAUCUUUCAAAUUACUAUAAAAGACGUCAUUUUAUAAUUAAAACCGAUCCUAAAAUGUACAAAAUUAAUAUUAUCCUAUACACUCUA